GCUGGAAUAGCUCAGUGGUAGAGCGGCACGUUGAAGCCGUGCGCGUCGGUGGUUCAAGCCCAUCUUCCAGCACCA
rnacentral:tRNA from 1 species